CGCCCGGCUGUGCGGGGACGCCCUCGGCCGCUGACGCCGGCCGCGGCCGGUGCGUGCCGGGUUCGGCGGCCUGUUCGGCGCCGGGCUGGGCGU
rnacentral:tRNA from 1 species